AUAAACCAUUUUUAAUUUUCAAUACUAACAUAACAUCUCGAUACUUUAACAUUUCAAUACUAAAUGCAACUGAAAAAAUUCCAUUGCUAUGGGGAUGUCAUUUUGUCCAUGGUAGUUAGGUAACAUAUUACUGAUAUUACUUAAAGUAUUGUUUGAGAAAGCUAACUUUACACUGUUUUGAUAGAACUUUAUUAGAGUUUUUAUCUUUAUUUUUCUAUAUCUUUACAGAUAGUUUAUUGAUCUACAUAUUUUUUUUCUUUUCAUCCCUUGUAAAUAGAGUAAGGGAAAGAAAUGAUAUUGAGAUGAGGGAAAAUUCAGAACGUGAUACUAAUAUGGAUAUAACAGACAAGGGACUAUCAUAAGUUGCACAAAAGGUGAUGCUGAAUCUACUUGCCGACUCUAAUAAUAAAAUAUCAAUAUGACAGAUAAAGUUUACCAUAAGACUGAAGAAGAAGACAUCUAACAAAAAGAAUGAAAAUAAUGCAGAAUAUUAUUAAGGGUAUUAAUAGCUAGUAUGCUAAAUAUAAUCCAAGAACCCAUUUACCAUUUAA